rnacentral:rRNA from 1 species
UACAGAGGGUGCGAGCGUUAAUCGGAUUUACUGGGCGUAAAGCGUGUGUAGGUGGCUUCCUAAGUCGAUUGUGAAAUCCCCAGGCUUAACCUGGGAACUGCAUUCGAGACUGCAUUGCUAGAGUAUGGGAGAGGGAAGUGGAAUUUCCGGUGUAGCGGUGAAAUGCGUAGAUAUCGGAAGGAACAUCAGUGGCGAAAGCGACUUCCUGGACCAAUACUGACGCUCAUGUGCGAAAGCGUGGGGAGCAAACAGG